rnacentral:rRNA from 1 species
AGACAGCAGCAGCCGCGGGAAUACAGAGGGUGCGAGCGUUAAUCGGAUUUACUGGGCGUAAAGCGUGCGUAGGCGGCUUCUUAAGUCGGAUGUGAAAUCCCUGAGCUUAACUUAGGAAUUGCAUUCGAUACUGGGAAGCUAGAGUAUGGGAGAGGAUGGUAGAAUUCCAGGUGUAGCGGUGAAAUGCGUAGAGAUCUGGAGGAAUACCGAUGGCGAAGGCAGCCAUCUGGCCUAAUACUGACGCUGAGGUACGAAAGCAUGGGGAGCAAACAGGAUUAGAGACCCGCGUAGUCCCUGUCUCUUAUAC